rnacentral:rRNA from 1 species
CACUGCACCACCUUGAUCAGGCCUAACCAUGCCUGAUUCUAGAAGCAAGGCAGGAUUGGGCCUAGUUAGGAUUUGGUUGGGAAGACUACUUGAGAAGACUGGGUGGUGCAGUCU